CUAGAAAGCCAAACAGAGAUAUAAAUUAGUGAGAUGCUCCUAAACAGGGCAUGAAGCUAAAUUCCCAGAAUCAGACACAGUCCGCUAAAUCUGUUCUUUACCAAAUCCAACCCCACGAAAAGAAAAUCUCCAAGAGCAAUCUCUCCCCGUCUCUCGAGGCUCUGGAGUUUCGUGUAUGAGGGAUCAAAUCAGUAGCUGAGAAACUCAGCGAGGCCAGUGAAGAGACUGUGAGAAAGGUGGGAUCUUGCAGGAAUGUGGAAUAUACAGAGGACAGUGCGAGGUGGGUGUGGGGGAGCGAGGCAGAGGUUGCAGA